GCCUGGCUGCACCUCUCUUAGAGCUCAUUUAAGGGCUGACUGCCACUGUGGAAGAUUCUUUUACUGGUGAUCUUUUCUUGGUGAAGUGUUUCCUUAUGAGCUGAGAAUCUUCUGAUAUGGGCACACCUUCUGCAGGGGCUGCAUUGAGCUUUGGGCUGUUGACAGGGUCAGCUGUCCAUUGUGCAGCCAGCGCAUCAGCAUGCUUGUGAGCCUUAUGUGGCACUCCCCAGGUCAUGUCUUAACUCACCACUCCUGGGGAAGGAUCCAGCAGGCUACGGAGUGACAGGAAAGAAGAUCCCCAACCAAGUCCCAGAGUGUCUUGUGCCAACACAAACAGCGCAGUCCCUCCAGGCCCCCCCUGCCAGCUUGUCUGUAGCCUCUGCUGGGAGUGGGAGCACAACGGACGCAGGCAGUUCCAACUGCUGUGGGAUACCAAGGACACUGGAUGGCUGACAUGAGUCCAAGAAGAGCAGUGGAGCUCCAGAGACCACAUGCAUUGCCAUGCUGGACUCCACUUCAGAGUAGGUGGCUCAACCUACUGAGAGAAGGCUGAGGCACUCCGCAACUCUUCUGUGCCAGGUGUCACUAGUCAUCGUUAUUCCUUGGACUGCAUCAGGAGAUGUGCUGCCAGCAGCUCAAGGUCAUCACUCUAUUCCCCUCUGCUCAGCCCUGGUGAGACCCAGCGUCCAGAGCUCCAAAGUACAGCAGAGACCUGGACACGCUGGAAGGAGCCCAGUGAAUAGCAGCCAAGCUGAUGGGAAGGGAGUACUGGAGCAUCUCUGCAAUGAGAAGAGAGCUGGGACUGCUCCUCCCACUGAAAAGAAGGCACAAGGGGAUCUUGUCAAUGCCAAUAGAUUAUUGAAAAUCCUGAAAUUGGUGGUAGAUUUCCUUCUGUUCCUUCUGAGAGAUGAAAGACAAACUUAACCUGGGAUCCCACUGUAUGGCUUCUGAUGCAUCAGCCGCUCCUCCUAGUUUGGGAUCCUCAGUGGCCUUGUGAGGAUAAACGCUGAUGCGUCAUCCUGAUCAUUUGUGAGGCUCUUAAGCAGGACUGGACCC
ensembl:lncRNA